rnacentral:tRNA from 1 species
GGUGGGUUAGCUCAGUGGUUAGAGCGUAGGUCUCGUAACCGAAAGGUCGCGGGAUCAAUACCGUUAGAGGCUA